AUAGAGAAGGAUGGGUACACAGAAGAAGAAUGAACCUUUCUGUUAAAUGCUAAUGGAAGUUCAAAGUGUGUGUCAUCUUUCCUAUAUGACAGCAUCACAUAGGGAAAGGACAAAGUAACCACCUUACCCUCAGCCCAUCGCUCGUAGCAAGUAUAUAAGAAGAUUGGGUCCUGGCCACCUGAUGCUCUCUUCCCUGUUUGUGUAUCAGACUUCAGUUGCAGAUCCUCAGCU